rnacentral:rRNA from 1 species
AUUGAACGCUGGCGGCAUGCCUUACACAUGCAAGUCGAACGGCAGCACGGAGCUUGCUCUGGUGGCGAGUGGCGGACGGGUGAGUAAUAUAUCGGAACGUACCCUAGGGUGGGGGAUAACGUAGCGAAAGUUACGCUAAUACCGCAUACGAUCUACGGAUGAAAGUGGGGGAUCGCAAGACCUCAUGCUCAUGGAGCGGCCGAUAUCUGAUUAGCUAGUUGGUAGGGUAAAAGCCUACCAAGGCAUCGAUCAGUAGCUGGUCUGAGAGGACGACCAGCCACACUGGAACUGAGACACGGUCCAGACUCCUACGGGAGGCAGCAGUGGGGAAUUUUGGACAAUGGGCGAAAGCCUGAUCCAGCAAUGCCGCGUGAGUGAAGAAGGCCUUCGGGUUGUAAAGCUCUUUUGUCAGGGAAGAAACGGUUGUCUCUAAUACAGAUGGCUAAUGACGGUACCUGAAGAAUAAGCACCGGCUAACUACGUGCCAGCAGCCGCGGUAAUACGUAGGGUGCAAGCGUUAAUCGGAAUUACUGGGCGUAAAGCGUGCGCAGGCGGUUAUGUAAGACAGAUGUGAAAUGCCCGGGCUUAACCUGGGAACUGCAUUUGUGACUGCAUGGCUAGAGUUUGGCAGAGGGGGGUAGAAUUCCACGUGUAGCAGUGAAAUGCGUAGAUAUGUGGAGGAACACCGAUGGCGAAGGCAGCCCCCUGGGUCAAGACUGACGCUCAUGCACGAAAGCGUGGGGAGCAAACAGGAUUAGAUACCCUGGUAGUCCACGCCCUAAACGAUGUCUACUAGUUGUCGGGUCUUAAUUGACUUGGUAACGCAGCUAACGCGUGAAGUAGACCGCCUGGGGAGUACGGUCGCAAGAUUAAAACUCAAAGGAAUUGACGGGGACCCGCACAAGCGGUGGAUGAUGUGGAUUAAUUCGAUGCAACGCGAAAAACCUUACCUACCCUUGACAUGGCUGGAAUCCCUGAGAGAUCGGGGAGUCU